AUGGACAUGAGGGCCCCCGCUCAGCUCCUCAGCCUCCUGCUGCUCUGUCUCCCAGGGGCCAGGUGUGACAUCCAGUUGAACCAGUCUCCACCCUCAGUAUCUGCAUCUCCGGGAGACAGAGUCACCAUCUCCUGCCGGGCCAGUCAGAGCAUCAGUACCAACUUGCACUGGUACCAGCAGAAACCCGGGAAAGCUCCUAAGCUCCUGAUUAAAUAUGCAUCCAGUUUGCAGCCCGGGGUCCCAUCCCGCUUCAGUGGCAGUGGGUCUGGGACAGAUUUCACUCUCACCAUCAGCAGCCUGGAGCCUGAAGAUGCUGCCACUUACUACUGUCAGCAGUGGAAAAGUUACCCUCCCACAGUGACACAAGCCUGAACAAAAACCACCCAGGGAGCAGCUGUGUGAGGCUGGGCAGCCCAGCUGCUUUCCAUGUUGCUUCUAUCUGCUGAGAGCACAACUCAGAUGGAGUCUCACUUCGAAGGACUGAAGUGUCUGGUAGAAGGAGCAGGUGUCUCUUUGUCCCUAAAUAUCUUUCACCUCCUCGCCCAGCAGCACAGAGAAAACAAUGUCUCUGUGGAUUCAAUAAAGACAGA